GCCCUUAAGAGUUUGAUCCUGGCUCAGGAUUAACGCUGGCGGCGUGCUUAAUACAUGCAAGUCGAACGGAAAUCUUUUAGAUUUUAGUGGCGAACGGGUGAGUAACACGUAAGCAACCUGCCUUUAAGACGAGAAUAACAAUUGGAAACAGUUGCUAAGGCUGGAUAGGAAAUAAAAAGGCAUCUUUUUAUUUUUAAAAGACCUUUUUCGGAAGGUAUGCUUAAAGAGGGGCUUGCGUCACAUUAGUUAGUUGGUAGGGUAAAGGCCUACCAAGACGAUGAUGUGUAGCUGGACUGAGAGGUUGAACAGCCACAUUGGGACUGAGACACGGCCCAAACUCCUACGGGAGGCAGCAGUAGGGAAUUUUCGGCAAUGGAGGAAACUCUGACCGAGCAACGCCGCGUGAACGACGAAGUACUUCGGUAUGUAAAGUUCUUUUAUUGAAGAAGAAACAAUAGUGGAAAAACUAUCUUGACGUUAUUCAAUGAAUAAGCCCCGGCUAACUAUGUGCCAGCAGCCGCGGUAAUACAUAGGGGGCGAGCGUUAUCCGGAAUUAUUGGGCGUAAAGGGUGCGUAGGCGGUUUAAUAAGUCUCUAGUUUAAUUUCAACGCUUAACGUUGUCCUGCUAGAGAAACUGUUUACUAGAGUGAGAUAGAGGUAAGCGGAAUUCCAUGUGUAGCGGUA
rnacentral:rRNA from 1 species